UACGAAGGGGGCUAGCGUUGCUCGGAAUUACUGGGCGUAAAGGGCGCGUAGGCGGUCUGUUAAGUUCGGUGUGAAAGCCCCCGGCUCACCUGGGGAACUGCGCCGGAAACCGACAGACUCGAGUACCGGAGAGGAGGGUGGAAUUCCUGGUGUAGCGGUGAAAUGCGUAGAUAUCAGGAGGAACACCGGUGGCGAAGGCGGCCCUCUGGACGGAUACUGACGCUGAGGCGCGAAAGCGUGGGGAUCAAACAGG
rnacentral:rRNA from 1 species